CAGAGGUUUCCCGCACAGAUUAUCAGCAGCUACUCGUACGAGGUGAGUUACCUUCCAAUAGCGGUGGGUCUACGACUACAAUGCCGGCCCACCAGUAGGAGUUGUAUGUUAGAUGAUUGUAUUUGUGAUAUCAUCUUGGUUUGCUACUACCUGAUAUGUUACAUGCUACCAUGAUAUGUUAUAUGUGAUAGUAGUAGAGUUCGGUUGUUAGGACCGCAGGGAAGGUCAGAUACCCCAAAUAUGUAUGACAGUAUGUGAUGAUAUGUUUAUAUGCUGGCAUGAUAUGUUAUAUGUGAUAGUGGUAGUAAGAGGGCAAUAGUCCCCAAGUUCGGUUGUUAGGACCAAAGGGUAGUUCGGACACCCCAGAUUUGUCUGAUAGUGUGUUUAUGUUAUGAUAUAUGUGAUAGUAGCAGUAGGGAUUGAAUAGUCCCUGAGGGUCGGUUGUUAGGACCGACGGGAAGGUCAACACCCAAAAAUGGCUUGACAUUGGUUGGUCAACACCCCAGAAUGGCUUGACACGGGUAGGAAGACACCCCAAAAUGGCCGCAUGGGUAGGUCGACACCCCAGAAUGGCCAUACGGGUAGGUCGACACCCUAGAAUUGCCGUAUCNUCGUAUUGGGUAGGUCGGACACCCUAGAGUUGCUCGGCAGUGGGUAUGCUAUAUAAUUGUAUGGUAUGUGGUACGAUGGGGGAACUCACUAAGCUUCGUGCUUACAAUUUACAGUUUUGGUUUCAGGUACCUCUUCAGCGAAGGGGAAGGAGCUAGCGUGGUAGCAGCACAUCAUACACACACUCAUUGUUUUCCGCACUUUGGAUAUUCUGGGAUUGUACUCUGACAUGUUACUAUUUUUAUGACUUGGAUUUUCAGACAAGAUACAUUGUUUUGUGAGAUGAUGUGAUUUCACAGUAUUUUCUUAUGAAUGUUUUCAUGACUGAGUUAAUUAAAAUGAAAUUUUUGGACUCGAAAAUUGGGUCGUUACAAGUUGGUAUCAGAGCCCUGGUUUGAGGGAUUCGGACACACCCUUAGGAGUGUUUAGACUCAAAUCGAGGGAUUUAAAGAUUUUUUACAAGAAAAAUGGUUUCCUAAAAGCUAAGAUAAAAUAGUUUUGGGAAAGAACAAAGUGUGUGAUGUGCGCAACCGGCCGAGCUCAAGUAAGUAUUCCCCAAAGCACCCAUACAAGUUUAUAUUAUGUUUAUCAGUUUCAGCAGAACAGCAUGCUAGAAUAGGACUAAGGAUCUAGGAAUGAUGCCUUAUGUUCCUGCUUUAUGUGCUUCAGCUUAUGAGAAUUGCAUGCUAGUAUUGAGUAGACAGUAAUAGGAUAGCCUGUUUAGGUUAUGACUGGUAGUAUGAGCUCAGCAUUGUAUGCUGGUACAGUUUCUCGUUAGGAGAAUAGAGUUGCUUGAGUAGUUUCCUGUGUCCGAAUGUUGCUUGCUUCGUGCUUGUAGGGCUCUGAAUGAUGGGAGUUAGCCAUUAGGUGAGUACGUCGCGUCACAUGUGAUUAGGAUUGGAUAAUCUCAGAGUGCUGGAUUUGGCCCUAUUGCGCAACUCUCGUUUGAGUCUAACCGUUGUAGGGACGAGUCGUUUACUUUAAGGAUUAUCUGAGCCUCGUUACAUGUGAUGGUACUCAGGUGGUGGCUAAUUGGCAUCACAAGGGGGCCUUCAGCAGCUGUGGACUGGUUUGGGUGGAGUCAGAGGUUCCCUAGGGUAAGCCUAGGAUGAGAGUAGCAGAGAUCAGUAGUGGUAAAAGGGACUUGGUGGAGUCAAGGCAGUCCUUGAGGAAAGUACGAAUAGAUGUGGAAGGUAGUAUGGGCCCGUACUACUGAAAGCAGAGGAUCCGUACUCGAAUUGAGGAAGGUUGAGGAAAGACCAUGGAACUUGUGAUGGGUGUGAUCCCUCUAGAAAUACCAGUAUCACUGACGGUUGUCAUGAUGUAUUGCAAAAUGGUGGUACUACGUCCGAGGCCAGCAGUAGGCAGCUCAGGAGAUGGAUCGGGUUCGGGUUCGGGUUCAGGUUCCGAACCAGUGGAUGAGAGGCUACGCGAGUUCAUCGCGGCUGAGAUCAGCAAACCAUGGAACUUGUGAUGGGUGUGAUCCCUCUAGAAAUACCAGUAUCACUGACGGUUGUCAUGAUGUAUUGCAAAAUGGUGGUACUACGUCCGAGGCCAGCAGUAGGCAGCUCAGGAGAUGGAUCGGGUUCGGGUUCGGGUUCAGGUUCCGAACCAGUGGAUGAGAGGCUACGCGAGUUCAUCGCGGCUGAGAUCAGCAAAGUCAUCGUUAAUGCGAUCUCGGUUAUCUUUGGGUCGAUCAAGGAAGGGAUUGUCGAGCUGAUGGAGGAUCGCCUUAGGGCGUUCAGGAGUGACAUGGCGACCAACCAGUCAGGAUCCCGCACACUGUCCUUUAAGGACUUCAAGGUCAGUGGUGCAUCGGAUCUCCAUGGGGCAAAGGACCCCAUUGCUGCUAGACAAUGGAUUGCGGAUAUUAAGUCUGUGCAGUUAACUAGCUUCUGCCCCGAGGGGUCGAAGGUGAGAUAUGCAGCAGCGUGUUUGAGAGAUAGAGCUUGAGAUUGGUGGGAGUCUGUUGGUGACUCAUUGGGAGCCUCGGCUAUUGAGGCUUUGACAUGGUUGGACUUUGUGACCCGGUUCAGAGCGAAGUUUGCACCCGUAGUGGAGCUCCAGCAGUUAGCCAGAGAGUUUUUGGAUAUGAGACAGACCACAGAGACUGUGGUGGAGAUCACCGCCAAGUUCUGGGAAAGAGUGUUACUAGUGCCCCAGUAUGAGGGUGAUGAGGACAUGAGGAGGACCCGCUAUCAUGACAUGCUACGAGCUGACAUUCGGGAGUAUGUCAGUUUUUUAGCUUACCCUACCCUGGAUUCCAUGAUUGCCAGGGCAAGGGAAAGGGAGAUCGAUAUGGAGCAUGUCCGGAAGAGGAAGGUAGAGGAGAGGGAGGCGAUUGGGGCUUCAGGGAAGAAGCCCAAGGGAUCAGAUGGUAGGCUAAAAGGCCAGUCAGAAUAGGGCCGCUGCAGGAAAUGUGGCAGGCCGCACGAGGGAGCAUGUAAGUUGGGAUCGUUGGGCUGCUACAAGUGCAGCAAGACGGAGCACUUCCGCAUGGAUUGUACCGCCCCUACGCCUACUAUUCAUACAUUUGAGUUUUUGUGUUUCCACUACAACCAGAGGGGCCAUAAGAAGGCCAAUUGCCCCCAGUUGACAGCAGCAGCGCCAGUGAAGGCGCCAGCUCCAGCGAUCCUGCGGAUUACUGAUGGCCGGCAGGCCAAGGAUGAGGCUCCAGUGGUGAGGAGCUGGGCCUUCCAGUUGACUACCGAGGAGGCACGCGCUACACCCGAUGUGGUGACGGGUAUGACUUCUUAUUUAUGCUAUUAUGAUAUGUUGCUGUGAUUUUGAUAUGUUAUGUAUGUGCUCUGUUUAGGAUCGUUCCAUGUGAAGGGUAUCCCAGUUCAGGUAUUGUUUAAUUCGGGUGCUACCCGAUCAUUUGUCUCUCUUGCGCUUAACAAGAAGUUUCCUGAGUCUUCGGGCAUGUUGGAUUGCCCUCUAGAGGUCGACAUUGCGGACGACCGGUUAGUGCGAGCAUCAGAGCUCUUCCGAGAUUGUGUUUUGAGAUUAUUCGAGGAGUGUUACUUGGUAGACUUGGUUCCCAUACCUUUGCGGGGGAACAAGGUUAUUAUCGGCAUGGAUUGGCUAAGCCCCAAUGGGUCAGUGAUAGAUUGUGCACAACAGUUGGUGCGAGUCAGGACCCCAGGAGGCGGAGAGUUAGUGAUUCAGGGCGAGAGGCCACAUCGAGGGCCAGCUUUAUGUUCGGCAGCGAGGGCAAGGUGUUACCUUCAGCAGGGUUGCGCAGGAUACGUCGCUUAAGUCAUGGACACCCAGGAGGCGGGUAAGGCGACAGUGGGCAAUGUGCCCAUGGUGCGAGAGUUUGUGGACGUAUUCCUCGAGGAGUUGCUUGGGAUACCUCAGGAGCGACAGGUGCAGUUAAGGAUCGACCUAGUCCCUGGUGCGGCUCCGAUAGCCAAGGCACCGUAUCGGUUGGCUCCUCCUGAGAUGCAGGAGUUGUCUACACAGCUGCAAGAGCUGUUAGACAAGGGAUUCAUUAGACCGAGUAAUUCUCCCUGGGGAGCCCCAAUUCUGUUUGUGAAGAAGAAGGAUAGGUCACAUCAGAUGUGUAUAGAUUAGAGGGAGCUGAAUAAGGUAACGGUGAAGAACCGUUACCCACUCCUAGGGAUCGAUGAUCUAUUUGACCAACUUCAGGGAGCAUCUUGGUUCUCCAAUAUUGAUAUGCGUUCAGGAUAUCAUCAGAUGAGGGUUAGAGAGGAGGAUGUACAGAAGACUACCUUUCGGACACGCUAUGGAUACUACGAGUUCGUGGUGAUGCCCUUCGGGCUCACCAAUGCUCUCGACGUAUUCAUGGACCUCAUGAAUCGCGUGUGUAGACCGAUGUUAGACCGGUCUGUGAUACUGUUUAUUGAUGAUAUAUUGGUUUACUCCAAGACGCAGGAGGAGCACGAGGAGCAUCUAUGAUAGGUUCUAGACACUUUGAGAAGGGAGAACUUGUAUACUAAGUUCUCCAAGUGUGAGUUUUGGUUGCACGAGGUGCAGCUUCUCGGGCAUCUUGUCAACCAGAAUGGGAUAUCGGUGGACCCGGCCAAAGUGGAGGCUGUAAUGAGAUGGGAGGUUCCGAGGUCUCCAUCUGAGAUUCGGAGUUUCCUUGGAUUAGCCGGCGACUAUCGGAGAUUCAUCCAGGAUUUCUCCAAGAUAGUCGUACCCCUGACCAAGCUAAUGAGGAAAGCCGUCGUCUUUCACUGGGGGUCUGAGCAGCAGGCUGCGUUCGAGACAUUGAGAUAGAGAUUGUGCGAGGCACCGAUCUUAGCCCUGCCAGAGGGCAUGGAGGAUUUUGUUGUAUACUGCGAUGCGUCCAUCUCGGGUUUGGGCGCAGUAUUGAUGCAGAGAGGACAUGUUAUUGCUUAUGCUUCGAGGCAGCUGAAGCCUCACGAGGCGAACUACCCGACGCAUGAUUUGGAGCUGGGGGAUGUUGUGUUCACCCUCAAGAUUUGAUGUCAUUAUCUUUAUGGGGUCCGUUGUAUCAUCUACACGGACCACAAGAAUUUGAUGUGCCUCAUGGAUCAGCCGAAUCUAAACAUGAGGCAGCGUCGGUGGUUGGACGUGGUGAAGGAUUACGAUUGCGAGAUCCUUUACCACCCGGGGAAGGCCAAUGUGGUGACCAACGCGCUUAGCCGCAAGCCGGCGCCGAUCAGGGAUAUCUGUCUGAGGAUAACAAUGGUGACUCCGCUAUUGGAGCGGAUUCGGGAGGCCCAACAGCAGACCUUGAAGGAGGAACAUCGGAAGAGCGAGCAGAUUAUAGGGCAGGUUUCCUCCUUCGACUAUGACAGCCGAGGAUUACUGACACUAUACCGUAGGGUGUGGGUGCCAUACCAUGGGGGUGUGCACCAGGUUCUAAUGGAGGAGGCGCACAAAUCUCGAUUCUCCAUUCAUCUCGGGGCGACGAAGAUGUAUAUGGAUCAUCGCCUAGACUAUUGGUAGACCUGCAUGAAGCGGGAUGUAGCAUGGUACGUGGAGCUGUGCUUGACCUGGACCUACAAGAAGGUCAAGGCCAAGAACCAGAGGCAACACGACAAGAUGCAGCCGUUGGAUAUUCCGCUGUGGAAAUGGGAAGACAUUACGAUGGAUUUUAUCACAAAGCUUCCCAGGAUCGCGCGGGGAGUGGAUUCGAUUUGGGUCAUCAUCGAUCGAUUGACCAAGAGCGCCCAUUUCAUCCCAAUUCAGGAGAGCAUUUCGGACGAAUGGUUAACCGAUAUCUAUACCACGGAGGUAGUGGCGCGACACGGGGUGCUAGUAUCGGUGAUUUCAGACAGGGAUUUGCGGUUCACUUCCAGGUUCUGGAAGAAGUUUCAUGACGAGCUGGGUAGUCGUCUGCAUUUCAGCACCGCCUUUCACCUGCAAACGGAUGGUCAGAGCGAGCGGACCAUCCAGACUCUGGAGGAUAUGUUGUAGGCUUGCGUGUUAGACUUCAGAGGUAGUUGGGAUAUUUACCUCCCAUUGGCUGAGUUCUCAUACAACAACAACAAUCAUGCGAGUGUCGAUCAUCCUCCCUUCGAGAUGCUGUAUGGGAGGAGGUGUAGGACCCCGAUAUGUUGGGGCGAGGUUGGCCAGAGGGUAAUGGGGAGCACCGAAGUAGUGCUCAAGACGACAGAGAGGAUUCAGCAGGUCCGGAGCAGGCUUCAGACUGCUCAGAGUCGGCAAAAAAGUUAUGCCGAUAAGCGUCGAUCCGACCUGGAGUUCCAGGUCGGGGAUAUGGUUCUCCUGAAGGUGUCCCCAUGGAAGGGCGUCAUUCGAUUUAGGAAACGAGGCAACUUGGGCCCUAGGUACAUUGGACCGUUCAGGGUCUUAGCCCGGGUGGGCAAGGUGGCGUACAGGUUGGAUCUGCCAGCCGAACUUAGCCAGAUCCACAACACUUUCCACGUCUCCCAGCUGUAAAAGUGCAUGGUGGACGACUCAGCAGUGGUACCCUUAUAGGAUAUUCAGGUCGAUGACAGCCUGAAUUACAUUGAUCGACUUGUAGCAAUCCUCGACCCGAAGUCGAAGGAUCUGAGGAACAAGAGGGUGGAGCUCGUGAAGGUGCAAUGGCAGCACCGGAAGGGCUCGGAAUGGACCUGGGAGCCGGUGGAUGAGAUGAUGGAGCAUUACCCAGAGCUGUUCCAAGAACGAGCAGCAGACUUCGAGGAUGAAGUCUAAAAUAAGAGGGGGAGAUUUGUAGCACCUGGUUCUUGGAAUGUAUUCUUAUUUAAGUGUUUUGCAUUUUUGGCCUAGGACUCGGCGAUUUGAAGGACCAACUCGUCGAGUAGAAGCGGGAUGGGACGCGGGAUUUAAGUAUUGGACUCGUCGAGUGGGGUCCCAGACUCGACGAGUAGGCUCUGACUGAACAAAAACCCUAAUCUAAGGGUUUGCACCCUAUUCAAUCAUCUCUUUCAGCCACCACUCGUCCCUAUUGCUCCCAGAAACCCUCCAUAGCAAACCCUAAGUGUUUUGGUGCAAGAUCUAAGGCUUUUGAGUGAUUUUUGUGGGCUUUGACCACAAGGAAGAAGGAAGAGCAUAGAAGGAUCAAGAGAAGACUGAAGGAUUCGAGUUUGGUGCAUCAUUUGCAGUCUUUGAAAGGUAUAAAGUCUAUACCUUGCUUGUUCAAUUGUUAUAUCCCUUUUUGGGGAACAUUUAUGACUUUUUAAGCCAUAAGAGGUAGCUAACCAUGAUUGCAAACAUGGUUAGGGGCCAAGACUUCAGAUCUAAGUCUUGGGAGGAGUCACAAGGAAGAUUUGGGUUGCUUUUGCACUCAAGGAAGGUCUCAUAAAACAUAAGAGCCAUUUUAGAGCCUUUUAGGCUCAAAAGUCCCAUGGAUGCACGUAAAGUUCGUAACUUUACGUCCUAGAUUGAGCUUAGGGGCUUGGAUCUAUCAUUUGGUUAAAGGUUGUACAUCAGAAAUUGAGGAAUUAGGACGUGCACGUUAUCGACUCGGCAAGUCCGUUCUUGGGACUCGACGAGUCCAAGGCAUAAAGUCCCAUAUCUGUUGAGGGUCAAAAGAACUCAGUUGGGUGUUAGAAGGGUUUUAAAAGGUCUGAAGGAGUGACCCAACGUAUUGGACAUAGCCUUAGACCUGGAGUUCAUGGGACUCGACGAGUGCUAGAAUAGACUCCGCGAGUCCAAGGCAAUCUCCCAAAACAUGAAGACGAAAUCGACGAGUUGUUCAUACAACUCGGCGAGUCAAGGACAGGACUUGUUCAUCAGAUGAAGGUGAACUAGACGAGUUGUUCAUACAACUUGGCGAGUCGGAUGAAGGUUCAUUCGUUGUUCAUAUCGUAGAGNGAACAUUUAGGACUUUUUAAGCCAUAAGAGGUAGCUAACCAUGAUUACAAACAUGGUUGGGGGUCAAGACUUCAGAUCUAAGUCUUGGGAGGAGUCACAAGGAAAAUUUGGGUUGCUUUUGCACUCAAGGAAGGUCUCAUGCAACAUAAGAGCCAUUUUAGAACCUUUUAGGAUCAAAAGUCCCAUGCAUGCACGUAAAGUUCGUAACUUUAUGUCCUAGAUUGAGCUUAGGGGCUUGGAUCUAUCAUUUGGUCAAAGGUUGUACAUCAGAAAUAGAGGAAUUAGGACGUGCACGUUAUCGACUCGGCGAGUCCGUUCUUGGGACUCGACGAGUCCAAGGCAUAAAGUCCCAUAUCUGUUGAGGGUCAAAAGAACUCAGUUGGGUGUUAGAAGGGUUUUAAAAGGUCUGAAGGAGUGACCCAACGUAUUGGACAUAGCCUUAGACCUGGAGUUCAUGGGACUCGACGAGUGCUAGAAUAGACUCGGCGAGUCCAAGGCAAUCUCCCAAAACAUGAAGACGAAAUCGACGAGUUGUUCAUACAACUCGGCGAGUCAAGGACAGGACUUGUUCAUCAGAUGAAGGUGAACUAGACGAGUUGUUCAUACAACUUGGCGAGUCGGAUGAAGGUUCAUUCGUUGUUCAUAUCGUAGAGGAACUCGUCGUGUCGUUGCCAAACUCGGCGAGUUGAGUCGUGGAUAAGGACGAGUAAAGGGUUAGGGAGUCGAUGAGUUGACGGCCCAACUCGGCGAGUCGGGUCAACUGGAAGUUGACUUUGACUUGGACUUGGUUGGGGGUAAAAUAGUCAUUUUACCCUAAGAGUAGAUAUCAGAUUCUGACUGAGUGUUUUGUAGGGGUUAUAGCCAGAGGAUUUCCGGAGCAGCAGCAGACAGAGGUUUCCCGCACAGAUUAUCAGCAGCUACUCGUACGAGGUGAGUUNUCGUACGAGGUGAGUUACCUUCUAAUAGCGGUGGGUCUACAGCCACAAUGCCGGCCCACCAGUAGGAGUUGUAUGUAAGAUGAUUUUCUUUUUGAUAUCAUCUAGGUUUGCUACUACCUUAUAUGUUAUAUGCUAGCAUGAUAUGUUAUAUGUGAUAGUAGUAGAGUUCGGUUGUUAGGACCGAAGGGUAGGUCAGACACCCCAGAUAUGUGUGACAGUAUGUGAUGAUAUGUUUAUAUGAUGGCAUGAUAUGUUAUAUGUGAUAGUGGUAGUCAGAGGGGAAUAGUCCCCAAGUUCGGUUGUUAGUACCGAAGGGUAAAAUUGACACCCCAUAUAUGUCUGAUAGUAUGUUCAUG
rnacentral:lncRNA from 1 species